UUAGUUUCUUCUGAGGCCUCUCUUGUCAGCUUGCAGACAGCUGUUGUCUUGCUGUGCCUUCACAGGGUCUUUCUUCUCUGUGUGUGCGUCCCUAGAGUUUCUGUGUGUGUCCAGAUCUCCUUUUAGAAGGACACCUGUUAACUUAACCUAGUUGUAACCCAAUUAACUUUUUAAAGGUCCUGUCUCCAGAUACUGUCACAUUCUGAGAUAUGUAGAGGUUAGGCCUUUGAUAUAAAUUUGGGGGAAGUUAAACACAAUUCAGUUCAUACCAACACCAUAAAGACAAUGAAGGCACAGAAAAUAAACUUUGUGCUCUAAAGUACUAAUGCGAUAUAAUCUAAUAAAUUAAGAAUUUUAUUUUUUUAAAACUAAGCAAUACAUAAUGGUCUUUUCUAUUCAGAUAUAUGGUAUAUUUAUUCAACACAAAAAUGCUACAGACUCUAUUCUAGAUGAUGGAGAUACAGAAUUGGCAAAAAAGACAGUCUUUGCUUUCGUGGUGUUUAAAACAAUAAAUAAAUAAUACAUCAGGUAGUGAUAAUUGCCCCUUUCAGUUGGCCUUUGCUGCAUACCACCACCUCCAAAACUGAAUGACUUAAAACAAUCGUCAUUUUAUUUGCUCGUGAUUCUGUGAGUCAGCAGUUUGAAUGAGGACCAGGCUCUGCAUGGUGAUCUUCUACUAGUCUCUCCUAGACCCCUUGGCAGCUGCAGUUACCUGUCAGUUCACUGGGAGCUGCAUGUGUAAGGGCUGGCAAACUUUUAUUUUAGGAAGAGGAGGAGGGUGAAAGAAAAAAAGGGAGAGAAAUAUCAAUGCAAGAGGAAAACAUCGAUUGGCUGCCUGUCAUACAUGCCCCUCCUGUAGACUGAAUCUGCAACCUAGGCAUGUGCCUUAACUGGGAAUUGAACUAGUGACCUUUCAGUUUGUGGGAUGAACCACAUUGGUCAGUCAAGGCAGACUGGAAAACUUUAUAAAGCUCCCUGUCAUUUUUGUCUUACCUCAGUUUUCUUUCUCCUCCUAUCAUUCUUCAUUAAGGAACAUUAAAAAGGUUUUAGAUAUUUUGGCAAAUUCCAUUUUGAUGGGUUGAGAUAGAGCUAUAAUGCUGAUCUUUUUUAAUGUCUUCAUUUUACAAAAAAGUCUACUACUGUUAACUGCAGUGUGUUACCACAUGUCCUGCUUUAUAGCUAGAAGUUAGGAUUUUUCAUCCAUUUGUUUGGAUAGGAUGAUAAUAGCAAAGUGAGAAAUAAGUCAUAAAUUGCUUUGGUUUUAGAUGCUGAAAUGUCUCAAUUCAUGUAUGGCAACACCAGACCUGCUUUUCUUAGCUCCACAGGAAAUGAGAGUGGGGCUGAGGCCGGAGGAAGCCGUGCAUGCCCAGCUUUAAGUUUGCAAGCUUCUCAUUGGUUGUUUAGGAGAGUAAUUGAAGUUUAUUUCUUUCCCAGAAAUGUCGAUUAUGAAGGGGAAAUGAGAUCUAUUGAUAGGCAAACUAACCAGAUUGUACCUGUCAUUUAUGUGUCAUUAGAUGAAGUUUGAAGGUGAAUUUCAGUUCUUAGGCAGAAUAAAGCAACCUAAAGCUCUCACAUGAUAGAUAAAUCUCUUUAUGUGUAGGGGAAAGAACAGACUCUUGAAUUAAUGAGCUAUUUAAAAAUUCAUGGGCUUCUCUCAUUAACAAGAAAAUUGGUAUGGGCUCCAUUACUCGGUGAUUUUCAAUUUCAGUGGAUUGGCACCUAGGGGUCUUCUGUACACCACGUAUACUGUAGAAGCCAUUUGUUUUGAGUUGAGGGUAUUCCACAGUGAUUUUGGUAGGUUUAGAAGAGAAUCAAGAUGUGCUUAGCUCAGUGAGGAUGAAUUAAUCUUUGUUAUGUGAUUACAUAAAUUGAUGGAAAUGGAGGGUUGAAGAUAAAAGAAAAAAAUGCUGACACUACCACUGCAUAGAUUUGUGGUAGUUUUGGAACCAACAUGCUUUAUUUGAAUUAGUAAAGAGAAGGGACACAUUGUCCAAGUGUUAAAAAAAUAAUAGCUAUCUUGUACUGACUCUGUGAGAUAGCUCUUCAUUUUUAUUCUUAUUUUACAUGUGCGUAGAGAGGUUAAGUAAUUUGCCUAUAGUCACAUAGCUAGUAAGUAGUGGAGAAAACAGAUUUUAAGGCCUUUCAGUUUUGACUUCUCAGUUUAGUACUUAACCAUUUGCCCAUACUGUUUCCUAGGGUAUGGACAGGUUAAGUUGAUAGGCAAGAUAUGACUAGGCCUAGAGAAGGCAGGAGGGUUUGGGGCUCUGGGUAACAAUGGGAAGAGGGAAGUAGUGGGGUUGAGAGGUAAAGGAAGACAGAAGUCAGUUGCCAGCCCUUAAACUUUUCUUCUCCCCAAUUUUUCUGUACCUUGUUUGGUGCUUCUAAAACUUUAAUCUGCAGUUGAAUCAGCUCUGGGGACCUUGUCAAAAUGCAGAUUCUGACUCAGCAGAUCUGAGAUGCGGCUUUUCUAUAUCUCUAAUCAGGUCCCAACUGCUGCUAACUACAGCAGUUUCACACAUUGAAUACUAAAGAACCUAGGUGGGCAAAGAGGUUUAGGACAGGAAGUGGUGGUUAGCAACUUAUUUAGACAUUUCAUUGGAACACAGUUGUUAGGAUGGCUUAUUCUGGUGAAGAUUAUGUCUUUGUGGUGUCAAAUGUGUAUCUAUACAUUCAAAGUUGAUGAUUUUGUGAAUAAACUAUAACUUUCCUUUGGUAUCCUCUGAGAAUUGAGGAAUGUUUAUGCAGGGAUGAUUGUUAGAUCAUGCAACCCGACCCAUUAGGUUAUGGUGAGUACUGAGGGACUCUGGCCUGGGCAGGAGUAAGGUCACAGCACCAUUAGUGCUUUUUCCUUUCUGUCUGGACUGAAGGCAGGCCAGUGAAGUGCUACCCUCUCACCCUCUUUGGUGAUUCAGUGACGCAACAAAAGUCAGAAAAAGAAACUGAUUAUGAUUCUCCUAUUCCAUUUCAGUUUGUAGUGCAUUUCUGGGCACAAAGGUGUUUCAGAGUGUGAAUGAAUAAAGGUUUCUGGGUGAGGCAGUCACAGUGAGUCUGAGGCCUGAGCCAUGUGGGUGAGUUUAUAGUGAAAAUAGAUGACAUCAUUGUGGUGCUGCAGACCAAACAGUGGCAGGUUUUUCACACCGUUCAGAGUGAAAGAAAAACUGGGCAGGUAUAAAUAUAAUCAAGUGGAUAACUUGGGAAAGACUUGGAGACAUGCCCUUUUAGUUCUUGAUUACACGCUGUCUCUAGGAAAACAGGCAAUAGAAAGUGUCAUUGUUGAAACAGAAAAGUCAAAAGCCUGAUUGUGAGAAUAAGGAAGUUCCAAAAAGGAGACCAAUGGAUGUAUGUAGGAAGAGCUUGAAAAUUUAAAGUACUGUUGAGAAAGAAGCAAGGAAGAAAAUCUGUCUGGGUAGAGAUAUAAAUGUCACAGUUAUACUUUAACUGUAUGUCUUUUGGUGGGGAUAGGGGAUAAGAUCUGUGGUUUUUAUGUUGAAGUCCUGGAGUUGUACAGUGAUAGUUUGGGGAAGAAUUCAGAGAGCCUCUAGUUUAUCCUCCCUCAUUUUGCCUAGAAGAACCUUCAAGGACCCAGAGAAGUAGAAGGUCCGAAUGGCUUAAGAUAUUUACCAGCUAUAUAGUAGAGUGGUAAAUAUCUUAAAUACCAAUUUUUUGGAAUAUAAUAUGCACCUUCCCGACCCCCCCCCCCCAAUUUGGGAGGAAUAAUGGUUGUUAGUGCUGCUGUUUGAGUUCUGUUUACAUUUAAAUUAGUAAAAUAUUAUUUAUGCUAUUAAAUAUUUUACCACACUUUUUGCUUCAAAGUUUUUUUCCUAUUUUCCUCCUCUAAAACCUAGAUGUGUCUUAUGGUCCGAAAAAUAUGGUAGUAGAUAUGUAGGCCAAAUGGACUUUUACAUUUUGCCUAAACUGACUUGUUGACCUGGCUUUCUCUCAUCUUACUCAUUUAAAAAGAGGUACACUUUUACUGAGUGCUUAUUAUGUUCAGGCACUGUAAUAAAUAUACUUCUUUUUAUCGUUUUCCUUUGAUUUUUAGAUUAUAUUGUCUGAAUGUUCACAUAUUUAAGCUAAACUUUUGUAACUGUUUUCUUAAUAUGGAAUAAUAACUAGAUUUGCCUCUCAAGUUUUAAUUUGGAAAGCAAGUGGAAUUAUUGCUGUAUUUCUGGUUUUGGCAGACUUGUUAUCAUAUUUUAUAGUUUAUUGCAUCAGGCUGGUCUUAAGAGAAUAACAUUUUUAAUACUUGAGUUUUCUCUGCAUCACAUUAAUAAAAACCACAUUUAAAACUUGUCCUUUAAAAACUCUGCUCUAGCUAUUGCCUUUAGCACUGUGCCAUAGGUGCUUUACUGGCAUGAAUUCAGAUCUCUGUUGUCUAAAUAGUGCAGAAAUCACAUUCCCAUUUUAUAAAUAGGCUUUAGAAAUUUAAUUUCCAUUGUAGAAUGUGUCAGUAGGCUCUGAGGUUAAUUGAAGAAUAAAACCCAGAAAUUGUGAACUCUUCAUGGGAGACAUUUGAUAUAAAGGUAAUCCCCAAAAGCAGCCUUGAGAAUCCCAAAUCCACUCGUAAUGACUUUGGAGACAUGCCUUGUUUUCCUCUAGACUAGUGUAAAAAGCCAUUUCCAGAGAGGAGGUUGCCUAGACUUUGUGAACUUAGAGGGACAGCUGAUUGGACCCAGAAGAAAAGGCCCAGGAGAUAGUCUGCAUGUGGGAUAUUUUGAGUAGUGUGUUAAGAAUAGGGGUGGUGUAUUGCUUUUUGUGUGUGUGUGUGUGUGUGUGUGUGUUGUUGAGGUUCAUAUAGAAUACAAGAGUUUUCAGAGAGCUGGGGUAAACCUUUUCCCAGCCAAUGCCUAGCAGACAGAGCCCCUUUCUUGUCUGCUCCUCUUCCUUCAAAAACCAGUAAGUCAUCAAGACAAUAGAUCCGCCUCCAUUGAUAGCAACUUCUCUACCAUGUUUCAUUCUCUAAUUCCUGCUGCACUGGGUAACUCAAGAUCCUCAUUGAGACCUUCUUGUAGCCUGGAAGCUCCUGACCACAGUUUACAGCAAGAGGGAGAGAGAGAAGUCAUAGGGAGAUGUACUUACCUUUUGUGCUCCUUGGAUCACGUUGAAAAGCUUUUAAAUUUCACCCUAAACUGGUGAGUCCUGGCCUUGCUUGCACAGCGCAGUCAGCUGGGGAGCUUAAAAAAAGUUGGUAACUGUGCCACCUGAGCCCCCAGGGACUCACACU